UAAAGGUGGUGGUGGUGGUGGUGAUGGUGGUGGUGAUGGUGGUGGUGGUGUUGUAUUUCACUAAGUAAUCUAAGUUAGAAGUAGAGAAUCCCAGUAAUCAGAUCGCUAGCUAGUCACAUGACUAGGUGACCAGAUUGGUGGCUAUUUAGGUUACUAUCUAUUCAGAUAAUUAGAUCAUAAGAUCGCUAGCUAGUCACAUUGCUAGGUGACCAGAUUAGUGGCUAUUCAGGUUACUAUCUAUUCAGAUAAUUAGAUAAUCAGAUAGCUAGCUAGUCACAUUACUAGAUGACCAGAUUAGUGGCUAGUCACGUUACUAUCUAUUCAGAUAAUUAGAUAAUCAGAUCGCUAGAUAGUCACAUUACUAGGUGACCAAAUUAGUGGCUAUUCAGUUUACUAUCUAUUCAGAUAAUUAGAUAAUCAGAUCGCUAGCUAGUAACAUUGCUAGCUGACCAGAUUAGUGGCUAUUCAGGUUAAUGUCUAUUCAGAUAAAUAGAUAAUCAGAUCGCUAGCUAGUCACAUUACUAGGUGACCAGAUAAGUGGCUAUUUAGGUUACUAUCUAUUCAGAUAAUUAGAUAAUCAGAUCGCUAGCUAGUCACAUUAUUAGAUGACAAGAUUAGUGGCUAUUCAGAUUACGAUCUAUUCAGAUAAUUAGAUAAUCAGAUCGCUAGCUAGUCACAUUGCUAGCUGACCAGAUUAGUGGCUAUUCAGGUUAGUAUCUAUUCAGAUAAUUCGAUAAUCAGAUCGCUAGCUAGUCACAUUGCUAGGUGACCAGAUUAGUGGCUAUUUAGGUUACUAUCUAUUCAGAUAAUUAGAUAAUCAGAUCUCUAGCUAGUCACAAUACUAGGUGGCCAGAUUAGUGGCUAUUCAGAUUACUAUCUAUUCAGAUAAUUAGAUAAUCAGAUCGCUAGCUAGUCACAUUACUAGGUGACCAAAUUAGUGGCUAUUCACGUUACUAUCUAUUCAGAUAAUUAGAUAAUCAGAUCGCUAGCUAGUCACAUUACUAGGUGACCAGAUUAGUGGCUAGUCACGUUACUAUCUAUUCAGAUAAUUAGAUAAUCAGAUCACUAGCUAGUCACAUUGCUAGGUGACCAGAUUUGUGUGGCUAUUCACGUUACUAUCUAUUCAGAUAAUUAGAUCGCUAGCUAGUCACAUUGCUAGUUGACCAGAUUAGUGGCUAUUCACGUUACUAUCUAUUCAGAUAAUUAGAUAAUCAGAUCGAUAGCUAGUCACAUUACUAGUUGACCAGAUUAUUGGCUAUUCAGCUUACUAUCUAUUCAGAUAAUUAGAUAAUCAGAUGGCUAGCUAGUCACAUUGCUAGCUGACCAGAUUAGUGGCUAGUAAGGUUACUAUCUGUUCACAUAAUUAGAUAAUCAGAUCGCUAGCUUGUCACAUUGCUAGGUUACCAGAUUAGUGGCUAGUCAGGUGACUAUCUAUUCAGAUAAUUAGAUAAUCAGAUCGCUAGCUAGUCACAUUGCUAGAUGACCAGAUUGGUGGCUAUUUAGGUUACUAUCUAUUCAGAUAAUUAGAUAAUCAGAUCGCUAGCUAGUCACAAUACUAGGUGACCAGAUUAGUGGCUAUUUAGGUUACUAUCUAUUCAGAUUAUUAGAUAAUCAGAUCGCUAGCUAGUCACAUUGCUAGGUGACCAAAUUAGUGGCUAGUCAUGUUACUAUCUAUUCAGAUAAUUAUAUAAUCAGAUCGCUAGCUAGUCACAUUGCUAGCUGACCAGAUUAGUGGCUAUUCACGUUACUAUCUAUUCAGAUAAUUAGAUAAUCAGAUCGCUAGCUAGUCACAUUACUAGCUGACCAGAUUAUUGGCUAUUCACGUUACUAUCUAUUCAGAUAAUUAGAUAAUCAGAUCGCUAGCUAGUCACAUUACUAGGUGACCAGAUUAGUGGCUUUUCAGGUUACUAUCUAUUCAGAUAAUUAGAUAAUCAGAUGGCUAGCUAGUCACAUUGCUAGCUGACCAGAUUAGUGGCUAGUCAUGUUACUAUCUAUUCAGAUAAUAAGAUAAUCAGAUCGCUAGCUAGUCACAUUACUAGGUGUCCAGAUUGGUGGCUAUUUAGGUUACUAUCUAUUCAGAUAAUUAGAUAAUCAGAUCGCUAGCUAGUCACAUUACUAGGUGACCAGAUUAGUGGCUUUUCAGGUUACUAUCUAUUCAGAUAAUUAGAUAAUCAGAUGGCUAGCUAGUCACAUUGCUAGGUUACCAGAUUAGUGGCUAGUCACGUUACUAUCUGUUCAGAUAAUUAGAUAAUCAGAUCGCUAGCUAGUCACAUUACUAGGUGACCAGAUAUUUGGCUAUUCUAGUUACUAUCUAUUCAGAUAAUUAGAUAAUCAGAUCGCUAGCUUGUCACAUUACUAGGUGACCAAAUUAGUGGCUAGUCACGUUACUAUCUAUUCAGAUAAUUAGAUAAUCAGAUCGCUAGCUAGUCACAUUACUACCUGACCAGCUUAGUGGCUAUUCAUGUUACUAUCUAUUCAGAUAAUUAGAUAAUCAGAUCGCUAGUUAGUCACAUUGCUAGCUGACCAGAUUAGUGGCUCUUCAGGUUAGUAUCUAUUCAGAUAAUUAGAUAAUCAGAUCGCUAGCUAGUCACAUUGCUAGGUGACCAGAGAUAAUUGGCUAGUCAGAUUACUAUCUAUUCAGAUAAUUAGAUAAUCAGAUCGCUAGCUUGUCACAUUGCUAGCUGACCAGAUUAGUGGGUAUUCAGGUUACUAUCUAUUCAAAUGAUUAGAUAAUCAGAUCGCUAGCUAGUCACAUUACUAGGUUACCAAAUUAGUGGCUAUUCACGUUACUAUCUAUUCAGAUAAUUAGAUAAUCAGAUCGCUAGCUAAUCACAAUACUAGGUUACCAGAUUAGUGGCUAGUCACGUUACUAUCUAUUCAGAUAAUUAGAUAAUCAGAUCGCUAGCUAGUCACAUUACUAGGUGACCAGAUUAGUGGCUAGUCACGUUACUAUCUAUUCAGAUAAUUAGAUAAUCAGAUCGCUAGCUAGUCACAUUGCUAGGUGACCAGGUUAGUGGCUAUUCAUGUUAAUAUAUAUUCAGAUAAUUAGAUAAUCAGAUCGCUAGCUAGUCACUUGACUAGGUGACCAGAUUAGUGGCUAGUCACGUUACUAUCUAUUCAGAUAAUUCGAUAAUCAGAUCGCUAGCUAGUCACAUUACUACCUGACCAGAUUAGUGGCUAUUCAUGUUACUAUCUAUUCAGAUAAUUAGAUAAUCAGAUCGCUAGCUAGUCACAUUGCUAGCUGACCAGAUUAGUGGCUCUUCAGGUUAUUAUCUAUUCAGAUAAUUAGAUAAUCAGAUCGCUAGCUAGUCACAUUACUAGGUGUCCAGAUUAGUGGAUUUUCAGGUUACUAUCUAUUCAGAUAAUUAGAUAAUCAGAUCGCUAGCUAGUCACAUUGCUAGCUGACCAGAUUAGUGGCUAGUCAUGUUACUAUCUAUUCAGAUAAUAAGAUAAUCAGAUCGCUAGCUAGUCACAUUACUAGGUGUCCAGAUUGGUGGCUAUUUAGGUUACUAUCUAUUCAGAUAAUUAGAUAAUCAGAUCGUUAGCUUGUCACAUUACUAGGUGACCAGAUUAGUGGCUAUUUAGGUUACUAUCUAUUCAGAUAAUUAGAUAAUCAGAUCGCUAGCUAGUCACAUUACUACCUGACCAGAUUAGUGGCUAUUCAUGUUACUAUCUAUUCAGAUAAUUAGAUAAUCAGAUCGCUAGCUAGUCACAUUGCUAGCUGACCAGAUUAGUGGCUCUUCAGGUUAGUAUCUAUUCAGAUAAUUAGAUAAUCAGAUCGCUAGCUAGUCACAUUGCUAGGUGACCAGAGAUAAUUGGCUAGUCAGAUUACUAUCUAUUCAGAUAAUUAGAUAAUCAGAUCGCUAGCUUGUCACAUUGCUAGCUGACCAGAUUAGUGGGUAUUCAGGUUACUAUCUAUUCAGAUAAUUAGAUAAUCAGAUCGCUAGCUAGUCACAUUACUAGGUUACCAAAUUAGUGGCUAUUCACGUUACUAUCUAUUCAGAUAAUUAGAUAAUCAGAUCGCUAGCUAAUCACAAUACUAGGUUACCAGAUUAGUGGCUAGUCACGUUACUAUCUAUUCAGAUAAUUAGAUAAUCAGAUCGCUAGCUAGUCACAUUACUAGGUGACCAGAUUAGUGGCUAGUCACGUUACUAUCUAUUCAGAUAAUUAGAUAAUCAGAUCGCUAGCUAGUCGCAUUGCUAGGUGACCAGGUUAGUGGCUAUUUAUGUUAAUAUAUAUAUUCAGAUAAUUAGAUAAUCAGAUCGCUAGCUAGUCACAUGACUAGGUGACCAGAUUAGUGGCUAUUCAGGUUAGUAUUUAUUCAGAUAAUUAGAUAAUCAGAUCGCUAGCUAGUCACAUUGCUAGGUGACCAGAUCAGUGGCUAUUUAGGUUACUAUCUAUUCAGAUAAUUAGAUAAUCAGAUCGCUAGCUAGUCACAUUGCUAGGUGGCCAGAUUAGUGGCUAUUCAUGUUACUAUCUAUUCAGAUAAUUAGAUAAUCAGAUCGCUAACUAGUCACAUUACUAGGUGACCAGAUCAGUGGCUAUUUAGGUUACUAUCUAUUCAGAUAAUUAGAUAAUCAGAUCGCUAGCUAGUCACAUUGCUAGGUGACCAGGUUAGUGGCUAUUUAGGUUACUAUCUAUUCAGAUAAUUAGAUAAUCAGAUCGCUAGCUAGUCACAUUGCUAGCUGACCAGAUUUGUGGCUAUUUAGGUUACUCGCUAUUCAGAUAAUUAGAUAAUCAGAUCGCUAGCUAGUCACAUUACUAGGUGACCAGAUUAGUGGCUAUUUAGGUUACUAGCUAGUCUUGUAAGUAGCUAAUCAAAUUACUGGCUAGUCAUGUUACUAGCUAGUCAGAUAACUAGCUCGUCAGUUUACUACGUCACCAGAUUACUGGUUAAUCAGAUCACUAGUUAUGUUACUAGGUGACGAUCUUAAUAGUCAGGUUACUAGCUAAUCCCAUAACUAGCCAGUAAUGUUACUAGUUGUUCAGGCCACUGUAUUAAUCAGUAAUCAGGCUAUGAAAAGUAAUCACUACUAGCUGGUCAGAUUGUCAGGGUAUCAGAUCAAUAGUUUAGCAGCUAUUCAGAUUACUCAUACAUCAGAUGACUAGAUUUAUCAGGUAAUCGGUUUACUGCGUAAUCUAGUAAUCAGAUUACUAAUCAAUCAGAUUGCUAUAUUAUUGGGUAAUCGGAUUACUAGCGUAUCAGGUAUUUGGAUUACUAAUUAAUAAUAUAACUAGAUUAUCAAGUAACUUGAUUACUAGCGUAUCAGGUAAUCAAAUUACUAAUUAGCAACACGACUAGCCUAUCAGGUAAUCGGAUUACUUGAUUAGCCGGUAAUCGGAUUUUCUCGAGUGUCAGGUGAUCAGAUGACUAGUUAAUGAACUUCACUUGGUGAUGAGGUCAUCGCAUUCGCUCGGUCGUUAACGUUUCUCGGCAAUCAUGACCGGGUCCACUGCCCGUGCACUCGGAUUACUUUUAAUGGCAAAGUAACCAAAGGAAAACGGACGAUUCGGGCUCGAAAGUAAUCCGAUUACAUCGCCUUCAUCGUUCGGAUUACUUUGACCACGUGGAGCAGUCACAUGACAGGGACUCUGCACUCUGAUUGGUCCAGUUUUAUAGUCCCCUUCCCCCUCCCCCCCGCCACUCUCUUCAAGGACCCCUUCCUCCCCCUCCCCCACCCCUUCGUUUCACAGGGGUCCUCAGGUCGAUUUUUAGGUGGCCACGGAGAUGAGGCAAAAAAAAGGGCUUUCUUUUUUUUUAGGGUGUCUUGAGAUACUGCCUGAUGUAAAAGAGAAUAUAUUAUUAUUAUCGUUUGUUGUUAUUAUUAAUAUUAUUUAGGGGGCUAAAAAUACGUCCAAUAUUUUACGAGGAGACUUUCUUUUAAAAUCUCAACGAGGGCGGGCAGAGAAGCUUUAUUAUCACACGCGCUAUUUUUACUACGAUGCCCUCAAGGUGUUUUGCUAUAAAUAUUAAGACGAUAAAGAUUCGCGCGGCUUAGGGCUUAAGCAGUAGGUUAGUUAGCGAAUGGUCUCAGAAAAAAAAUAUAUAUAUCUGGAAACUGUGCGUGCGUGUGUGUGCGUUAUUUGGCGCUUAUUACUACUAAGAAUGAUAAGGAUUUUGCUAUUAAAUGGUGUUUCAAAGUGCAA